UCAAGUGAAUAAGCGUGCACGGUGGAUGCCUAGGCAGUCAGAGGCGAUGAAGGACGUGGUAACCUGCGAAAAGCUUUGGGAAGGUGGUAAACAACCUAUGAUCCAGAGAUAUCCGAAUGGGGAAACCCACCCAGCGUAAGCUGGGUAUCUUAUACUGAAUACAUAGGUAUAAGAGGCGAACCGGGAGAACUGAAACAUCUAAGUACCCCGAGGAAAAGAAAUCAAUUGAGAUUCCCCUAGUAGCGGCGAGCGAACGGGGAUUAGCCCUUAAGUUUAUUAUGUUUUAGCGGAAGUAGCUGGAAAGUUACGCCAUAGUGGGUGAUAGCCCCGUACGCGAAAAGGCAUUUUAGGUGAAAACGAGUAGGUCGGGACACGAGAAAUCUUGACUGAACAUGGGGGGACCAUCCUCCAAGGCUAAAUACUCCUGACUGACCGAUAGUGAACCAGUACCGUGAGGGAAAGGCGAAAAGAACCCCUGUGAGGGGAGUGAAAUAGAUCCUGAAACCGUGUACGUACAAGCAGUGGGAGCCGAUUUAUUCGGUGACUGCGUACCUUUUGUAUAAUGGGUCAGCGACUUAAUUUUAGUAGCAAGCUUAACCGAAUAGGGGAGGCGUAGGGAAACCGAGUCUUAAUAGGGCGUAUAGUUGCUAGGAUUAGACCCGAAACCGGGCGAUCUACCCAUGGCCAGGUUGAAGGUUGAGUAACAUCAACUGGAGGACCGAACCCACGUAUGUUGAAAAAUGCGGGGAUGAGCUGUGGGUCGGAGUGAAAGGCUAAUCAAGCCCGGAGAUAGCUGGUUCUCCUCGAAAGCUAUUUAGGUAGCGCCUCGUGUCUCACCAUUGGGGGUAGAGCACUGUUUCGGCUAGGGGGUCAUCCCGACUUACCAACCCGAUGCAAACUCCGAAUACCAAUGAGUGCAAUCACGGGAGACACACGGCGGGUGCUAACGUCCGUCGUGGAAAGGGAAACAACCCAGACCGUCAGCUAAGGUCCCAAAGUGUAUGUUAAGUGGGAAACGAUGUGGGAAGGUUUAGACAGCUAGGAGGUUGGCUUAGAAGCAGCCAUCCUUUAAAGAAAGCGUAAUAGCUCACUAGUCGAAUCGGCCUGCGCGGAAGAUAUAACGGGGCUCAAACAUACCACCGAAGCUACGGACGCAUGCUUGCAUGCGUGGUAGAGGAGCGUUCUGUAGGCCGUUGAAGGGAAAGCUGAGAGGCAUCCUGGAGGUAUCAGAAGUGCGAAUGCUGACAUGAGUAACGAUAAGGGGAGUGAAAAGCUCCCCCGCCGGAAGACCAAGGUUUCCUAUCCAAUGCUAAUCAGGGUAGGGUGAGUCGGCCCCUAAGGCGAGGCUGAAGAGCGUAGUCGAUGGGAAGCAGGUUAAUAUUCCUGCACCACUCAAUAUUGCGAAGGAGGGACGGAGAAGGCUAGUCCAGCACGGCGUUGGUUGUCCGUGUUUAAGCGUGUAGGCUGGGAGUUUAGGUAAAUCCGGACUCCCUUAAGGCUGAGGCGUGAUGACGAGGUCCAUUAGGACUGAAGUGGUUGAUGCCAUACUUCCAGGAAAAGCUUCUAAGCAUCAGGUAUUGAGUGACCGUACCCCAAACCGACACAGGUGGUCAGGUAGAGAAUACCAAGGCGCUUGAGAGAACUCGGGUGAAGGAACUAGGCAAAAUGGUACCGUAACUUCGGGAGAAGGUACGCCGGUUUUGGUGAUGAGACUUGCUCUCUAAGCUGAGGCCGGCCGAAGUGACCAGGUGGCUGCGACUGUUUAUUAAAAACAUAGCACUCUGCAAACACGUAAGUGGACGUAUAGGGUGUGACGCCUGCCCGGUGCCGGAAGGUUAAUUGAUGGGGUUAUCUUCGGAGAAGCUCUUGAUCGAAGCCCCGGUAAACGGCGGCCGUAACUAUAACGGUCCUAAGGUAGCGAAAUUCCUUGUCGGGU
rnacentral:rRNA from 1 species